CCGGUUUUUCUUGCUCCUGAUGUUAGCGGCGGACGGGUGAGUAACACGUGGGUAACCUGCCUGUAAGACUGGGAUAACUCCGGGAAACCGGGGCUAAUACCGGAUGGUUGUUUGAACCGCAUGGUUCAAACAUAAAAGGUGGCUUCGGCUACCACUUACAGAUGGACCCGCGGCGCAUUAGCUAGUUGGUGAGGUAACGGCUCACCAAGGCAACGAUGCGUAGCCGACCUGAGAGGGUGAUCGGCCACACUGGGACUGAGACACGGCCCAGACUCCUACGGGAGGCAGCAGUAGGGAAUCUUCCGCAAUGGACGAAAGUCUGACGGAGCAACGCCGCGUGAGUGAUGAAGGUUUUCGGAUCGUAAAGCUCUGUUGUUAGGGAAGAACAAGUACCGUUCGAAUAGGGCGGUACCUUGACGGUACCUAACCAGAAAGCCACGGCUAACUACGUGCCAGCAGCCGCGGUAAUACGUAGGUGGCAAGCGUUGUCCGGAAUUAUUGGGCGUAAAGGGCUCGCAGGCGGUUUCUUAAGUCUGAUGUGAAAGCCCCCGGCUCAACCGGGGAGGGUCAUUGGAAACUGGGGAACUUGAGUGCAGAAGAGGAGAGUGGAAUUCCACGUGUAGCGGUGAAAUGCGUAGAGAUGUGGAGGAACACCAGUGGCGAAGGCGACUCUCUGGUCUGUAACUGACGCUGAGGAGCGAAAGCGUGGGGAGCGAACAGGAUUAGAUACCCUGGUAGUCCACGCCGUAAACGAUGAGUGCUAAGUGUUAGGGGGUUUCCGCCCCUUAGUGCUGCAGCUAACGCAUUAAGCACUCCGCCUGGGGAGUACGGUCGCAAGACUGAAACUCAAAGGAAUUGACGGGGGCCCGCACAAGCGGUGGAGCAUGUGGUUUAAUUCGAAGCAACGCGAAGAACCUUACCAGGUCUUGACAUCCUCUGACAAUCCUAGAGAUAGGACGUCCCCUUCGGGGGCAGAGUGACAGGUGGUGCAUGGUUGUCGUCAGCUCGUGUCGUGAGAUGUUGGGUUAAGUCCCGCAACGAGCGCAACCCUUGAUCUUAGUUGCCAGCAUUCAGUUGGGCACUCUAAGGUGACUGCCGGUGACAAACCGGAGGAAGGUGGGGAUGACGUCAAAUCAUCAUGCCCCUUAUGACCUGGGCUACACACGUGCUACAAUGGACAGAACAAAGGGCAGCGAAACCGCGAGGUUAAGCCAAUCCCACAAAUCUGUUCUCAGUUCGGAUCGCAGUCUGCAACUCGACUGCGUGAAGCUGGAAUCGCUAGUAAUCGCGGAUCAGCAUGCCGCCGGAUGGGCUG
rnacentral:rRNA from 1 species